rnacentral:rRNA from 1 species
GACGAACGCUGGCGGCGUGCUUAACACAUGCAAGUCGAACGGAAAGGCCCUGCUUUUGUGGGGUGCUCGAGUGGCGAACGGGUGAGUAACACGUGAGUAACCUGCCCUUGACUUUGGGAUAACUUCAGGAAACUGGGGCUAAUACCGGAUAGGAGCUCCUGCUGCAUGGUGGGGGUUGGAAAGUUUCGGCGGUUGGGGAUGGACUCGCGGCUUAUCAGCUUGUGGUGGGGUAGUGGCUUACCAAGGCUUUGACGGGUAGCCGGCCUGAGAGGGGGACCGGCCACAUUGGGACUGAGGUACGGCCCAGACGCCUACGGGAGGCAGCAGUGGGGAAUAUUGCACAAUGGGCGGAAGCCUGAUGCAGCAACGCCGCGUGCGGGAUGACGGCCUUCGGGUUGUAAACCGCUUUCGCCUGUGACGAAGCGUGAGUGACGGUAAUGGGUAAAGAAGCACCGGCUAACUACGUG